rnacentral:rRNA from 1 species
GACGAACGCUGGCGGCGUGCCUAAUACAUGCAAGUAGGACGCAGUUGCGAACGGGUGAGUAACGCGUAGGUAACUACCUAUUAGAGGGGGAUAACUAUUGGAAACGAUAGCUAAUACCGCAUACUAGUAGAUGGACCUGCGUUGUAUUAGCUAGUAGGUAGGGUAAUGGCCUACCUAGGAAACGAUACAUAGCCGACCGUGGAGGGUGUGAGAGCACACUGGGACUGAAACACGGCCCGGACUCCUACGGGAGGCAGCAGUAGGGAAUCUUCGGCAAUGGGGGGAACCCUGACCGAACAACGCCGCGUGUGUGAAAAAGGUUUUCGGAUCGUAAAGCUCUGUUGUUAAGGAAGCGGUACUUAACCAGAAAGGAACGGCUAACUACGUGCCAGCCGCCGCGGUAAUAC